UUCUGUGAAACAGACUAUUAAAAAGGAAUGAAUGGAGUAUAUGAGAUUCAAUCCUUCCAUUAUUUGUGAUUCAUUCUCUUUCGUUCGUUUUCCAUUAAUUCCAUCUUUUCCUUCACAUUUCAUAGUCGCUCCAAAUUCCCAUUCUACCAAUUUCUAAAUUUCUUAAAUCAGUAACGGUUCUAGGUUUGCCUAAAUGAUAAGAUUUCCAAUUACACCAAAAUAAAAGCACGCCAUGGAUUUAAUUGCCUUCUGCUCUAUAAAUUGUCUUCGAAAAUCAGGGAUCAGCAUCAGUCUCAUCGGUUCAACAUUAGCUUCCCAAACAAAGAUAGCAAUGGCAUCACAGGUUACCUGCAAACUUCAAAAGGUAGGAUCCUCAGCACACAGGACGCUCUCACAUAUUUGAUCAACCUUAAUUUUUGGAUAUGACACUAAAUGUCUUUCAGGUGUGAACCUUAUGAAUUUUGCUAAGAAAGGUGUGCUUGGAUCAAGGUGAUGCCAAUCGCCUAAAGAGACAACUGCUCCAAUGACUCCAUGAAAUGUGUCUUAUGACUCAUGUCAAAAUUUGUGUGAGAGAUAUUACUGAUGAUAGUAAAUAUAUGCAUUUUAUAAAUUUUUUCAUUUUUUUUGGUAUAGUUUUAUGAAAAUUGAAAAGGGGUUGCUGAUAUUAGAGAACCUAGCUAAUUGAGGGGAUCCUUUUUGUUCAGGUAGUUUUACAGUACAUUGUGAUCAAGACAAAGACUUUUGUUUUGGCCUUUGGGGUUCUAUUUACCAUCAGUAAGUUGCUUCUUCGGUUCCACCACUUUAUUCCAAGUGGGGUUAUUAGUAAAUCCAUCAAAGAAACCAAUUAGAUCCUCAUAUGUGCUCCGCAUUAAGUAAUCAAAACUUAAUUUUCUAUAUUACAAUUCGUUUUUUUGCAGUCUCAUAUGAUACUCUUAGGUUCAUUUCAUUGUGUAUUGGAGUCAACUUAUUACAUGUUAAUAUUUCUUUUCAUGUAGCCCCAUUUUGUUAUAUUCAGAUUAAUGGUUUUAUUUCUGCUUUUUUUCACACUAAGUCAUCGUUGACCAGAUGGUGCAUUCGCAGGGUUCGGUUAAGAAAUUAAGGAAUUUGAUUUGGUUCUAGCUCAAAGUACGAAUUCAGCAAACUGAAGUUUAGCUUCAGGGUGAAAGCAAUCAGAAAUUAAUUGGAGGAUAGUUUCUUACCUCUUGGAGGAUGAGAAAGGCACAAAACCACAACAUUUGCAAGUGCUCAGUACAUUUAUCCAAUUUUUUUUCGAAGGCAAAGAAAGUUUCUGCUUUCUUAAAUUUGGGUAAACUCAUAAAUGAAGUUUGGGUAUUACCCAAGUUUACUUCAACUGUCUAUAUGGAGUCUGAACUGACAGUGAAUAUACUUAAUGCUCUCAACUAGCAAGAUGGAUAUGGUGACAUCUUUCAAUAUCUAAUAUAUCCAAUAUUUUGCAUAGUAAUGCAUAUCCUCAUCAGUUUCGUAGUAAAAAAAAGGUUAUAAUAAUAAGAGGAGCAACUGAGCUAAAAGAACUAUGUGGGACUGUUAAGUCAUUAGAUGUAAACCAGGUGGAGUAUUCUGCAGGCUGAUUGGCAUGCACAUUUUUUUUUUCUCAAAUGGAAAAACACAGGUAGGCAACAUUCCAGUCAAAAUUUGAAAAACAGUUACCAGACUGCAAUAUGUUCGGCAGCUUGAAGCUAUGAUUGGCAAGCUUGAUCUAAGGAUGGAGGAACGCGCCAAGGUGUUCGGAUGAAGACCAUCUCAUCAUAUUAUUCUGCUCAUGCAUUAGGAGAAGGAGAUAUUGAUUAAAGGAAAAUAAUUGCAGAUUUUCUAUCUACGGUUGCUACCGAAAUUAUCAUUGAAAAUGGUUGCCACUUGCCAGUGUGUUUCCUGUUGUGCAUGUAAUAAGGAAGUUCUUGGCAACGAUGGUGAGUUGUGGUCUCCAAUUGCAAAUCAAAAGUAGAAAUUCCAAUAGCAUGGUUAACGCUAUGUACUGCCAUAAGCCAAGAGUAGAUUACAGUGUUCUGUCAGUCCAUUAAUUCCAUUUAGGGGAUUCUGGAUAACUUAAGGGUUGACAUGGGGUGUAAGUACAGUUCUGAAUGGAUUGGUCAUUUCAACUUUAAAUCAGAUUAUUUGCUUUAACCAGUAACAAUAAAUGAAAAAUGUUUAGCAUGUGUCGAGAUCAGUCAAUGGAUAGUA